rnacentral:rRNA from 1 species
CCUACGGGUGGCAGCAGUGGGGAAUAUUGCACAAUGGGGGAAACCCUGAUGCAGCAAAGCCGCGUGAGUGAAGAAGUCCCUCGGGGUGUAAAGCCCUAUCAGCAGGGAAGCAAAUGCCGGUCCCUGAUUACGAAGCCCCGGCUAACUACGUGCCAGCCGCCGCGGUCAUACGUAGGGGGCAAGGUUUAACCGGAUUUACUGGGGUUAUGGGGAGCGCAGACGGCAAUGCAAGGCCGGAGUGAAAGCCCGGGGCCAAACCCCGGGACUGCUCUUGAAACUGGGCGGCUAGAGUGCGGGAGGGGCAGGCGGAAUGCGUGGUGUAGCGGUGAAAUGCGUAGAUAUGAGGAGGAACACCGGUGGCGAAGGCGGCAUGCUGGACAGCAACUGACGUUGAGGCACGAAAGCGUGGGGAGCAAACAGGAUUAGAUACCCGAGUAGUC